rnacentral:lncRNA from 1 species
CUCCAAUUGCGCCAAUCGUUGCACAGAAUCAUUUCACUCCUGGAGGGCCCGAGCAUUCCUUUGAGCUCUUUCAUAAAGAUCCUGCAACCAAAAGCAAGUCGUCAAGUUUUCGGCAAAAAAUAGUCGGGCAAAAGAGACAACAUACCUAAAAGCUCUGGAUAGCUCUCCAAAACUCUAACUCCGAUGGUAGCUCAAGCACCGGACCUUCAACAUUUUU